rnacentral:lncRNA from 12 species
AAAUAAAAUUUACUAUGGCAUUUCCUAAACUGAAAUUUACUAUCUUUUUCAGGUUUUAUUUCAGUAUAUGAAAGAACACAAUAUUACCUCUUUUAGGGAUAUAUUAUUAUCUCUGCCUGUCAUCUAAAAUUAACUAGAAAAAUCAUAUUACAAAGUGAAGUAUCAACAACUAAGAAAAAAAUGUUUCCUGAUAAUAGCCUGAAGGUUACAUACCAACAAGGGCAAGAGUCCCAAGGGAAAGAAAAUCUUUAAGAGACUCGCUGUUGAGAGAUAAUUCUCCAUGUUUUUCUGACACUUUUGCCCUAUUUUAAAAUAAGAGGCACU